rnacentral:misc_RNA from 1 species
CAAAAAAAAAAAAAAAAAAUCAACUAAAUUAAAUCUUAUUCUAGUUUCUAAACAGGGAGAUUACAUUUACAGAGGUACUGAUUAGUGAUUAAUUAGCUAGUGGACUAAGUAGAUUGGGAAAAAAUAAAGUAAAAAUGAAGAGCAACGUGUGGGGAAAUUUUUGCCUAAACUUGAUUUAUUGAGCAUUUAAGAUGCGUGAUAUAUUUAUGUAUUAGUUAGUUAGUUACAUGAUCAACAAAUCCAGGUAAAUUUUUCACGGAAAUUGCCUUUCAGUAAGGGAUUUAAAUUGGUGGCCGCUAUGAGAUUAUUCUAUAUAUAUAUAUAUAUGAGGGAAAAAAUAAUGAGAGAAAAACAUCAUAUAAUGAGUAAAAGUAUGUAAAUGUGAUGUUGUUGUUAAAACUCAAGGCUUUCAAGUUGGAUAAUUGAUUAACAAGUGGAUGUGACAGAGCAAAGCAGGGAAGAGUAUAUAGAAAAGGUAAUACAAUAGGAAAGAAAUUAAGAGAGAUAGAGAGAGAGAAGCCAACCUUGGCUGAGUAGUUGUAUUGCAAUCAUUUAACAUGUAUAUGGAUACCAACUGCAAUUAUCAAGAUAGUGAUUAUGCAAAAAUAUAUUACAGCAUGAACCAGAAUGGAGAUUCCACUUGUGUUCAUGUUCCCAAAUUCUACCACCCUCAUCCUUGCUGGUAGCUGGAAUAAUAGACCCGGUGACAAUAGGAUGAACAAAACCACUGCUACAACAACUGGUCCCCAAUCGGCACUCAUCUUUCUCUCUCUCUCUUUCUGACACGCAAACAGCCUCUUGGAAGGAGAUGUCGAAUUUUUGGAAUCUCUCGCUUCAACAAAACAUGAGCAAAGACAGGGAUGUGCAUUCAAAUAUGUAGGAGGGCCUUCUGAGAGGAAUGAGACUAAUUUUCUUCCUGAUUAAGGAGAUGGUGAUGCGAAACUUAGUGAGAAAGAAGAGGAUAGGUUUAAAGGGGAGUAAAGGUAUGCGUCUGCGGUGGGUUUCCUUUAUGGGUAUGUAAAGAAAGAAAGACAGAAAGAAAGAAAGAAAGAAAG